rnacentral:lncRNA from 1 species
UGUCACUCUUAGUAAGCAUGUUAAAAAAUAUAGCUGCGUUCUAAAACGACUUAAUCCAGUUUGUAUAGUAAGGGGUAGUGUUUAUUUUAUUCAAAAAGAACACUGAAGGGAGGGGUUAGUAAAAUGCACAGCAGAUAAAAUAUCUUA